AUUGAGUUUUAACCUUGCGGUCGUACUCCCCAGGUGGUGUGUUUAUCGGUUUCCUGCGACACUGAAAAUAAAUUUCCAACGUCUAACACACAUCGUUUACGGCAUGGACUACGAGGGUAUCUAAUCCUCUUCGCUACCCAUGCUUUCGUUCCUCAGUGUCAGUAAUGAUCCAGAAAGCUGCCUUCGCAAUUGGUAUUCUUUCUAAUAUCUACGAAUUUCACCUCUACACUAGAAAUUCUGCUUUCCUCUAUCAUACUCUAGCUGAAAAGUUUUGAUGGCAGUUCCAGAGUUAAGCUCUGGGAUUUCACCACCAACUUUUUCAACCACCUACGAACUCUUUAAGCCCAGUAAUUCCGAACUACGCUAGGUCCCUUCGUAUUACCGCGGCUGCUGGCACGGAGUUAGCCGGACCUUCUUAUUCGGGUACAGUCAUUUUCUUCCCCGACGAAAGAGCUUUACAACCCAAAGGCCUUCUUCACUCACGCGGCAUCGCUGCAUCAGAGUUUCCUCCAUUGUGCAAGAUUCCCCACUGCUGCCUCCCGUAGGAGUUUGGGCCGUGUCUCAGUCCCAAUGUGGCUGAUCAUCCUCUCAAAUCAGCUAUUGAUCAUAGUCUUGGUAGGCCAUUACCCUACCAACAAACUAAUCAAGUGCGGGCUCAUCCAAUGGUGCAUAAAGCUUUCUCCGUAAAGACUUAUCCGGUAUUAGCACAAGUUUCCUCGUGUUAUUCCAGGCCAAAGGGUAGAUACCCACAUGUUACUCACCCGUCUGCCACUAAGUAUUGCUACUUCGUUCGACUUGCAUGUGUUAGGCGUGCCGCCAGCGUACGUUCUGAGCCAGGAUCAAACUCU
rnacentral:rRNA from 1 species